rnacentral:rRNA from 1 species
AUUGAACGCUGGUGGCAGGCUUAACACAUGCAAGUCGAGCGGGGGAGAUUGCUUCGGUAAUUGACCUAGCGGCGGACGGGUGAGUAAUACUUAGGAAUCUGCCUAUUAAUGGGGGACAACAUCUCGAAAGGGAUGCUAGUACCGCAUACGCCCUACGGGGGAAAGCAGGGGAUCACUUGUAACCUUGCGUUAAUAGAUGAGCCUAAGUCGGAUUAGCUAGUUGGUGGGGUAAAGGCCUACCAAGGCGACGAUCUGUAGCGGGUCUGAGAGGGUGAUCCGCCACACUGGGACUGAGACACGGCCCAGACUCCUACGGGAGGCAGCAGUGGGGAAUAUUGGACAAUGGGGGGAACCCUGAUCCAGCCAUGCCGCGUGUGUGAAGAAGGCCUUAUGGUUGUAAAGCACUUUAAGCGAGGGGGAGGCUCUUUUGGUUAAUACCCAAGAUGAGUGGACGUUACUCGCAGAAUAAGCACCGGCUAACUCUGUGCCAGCCGCCGCGGUAACAC